rnacentral:rRNA from 1 species
AAGUCGAGCGGCAGCGGGAGGAAGCUUGCUUCCUCGCCGGCGAGCGGCGGACGGGUGAGUAAUGUCUGGGAAACUGCCCGAUGGAGGGGGAUAACUACUGGAAACGGUAGCUAAUACCGCAUAACGUCUACGGACCAAAGUGGGGGACCUUAGGGCCUCACACCAUCGGAUGUGCCCAGAUGGGAUUAGCUAGUAGGUGGGGUAAUGGCUCACCUAGGCGACGAUCCCUAGCUGGUCUGAGAGGAUGACCAGCCACACUGGAACUGAGACACGGUCCAGACUCCUACGGGAGGCAGCAGUGGGGAAUAUUGCACAAUGGGCGCAAGCCUGAUGCAGCCAUGCCGCGUGUGUGAAGAAGGCCUUCGGGUUGUAAAGCACUUUCAGCGAGGAGGAAGGCGUUAUAGUUAAUAACUGCAGCGAUUGACGUUACUCGCAGAAGAAGCACCGGCUAACUCCGUGCCAGCAGCCGCGGUAAUACGGAGGGUGCAAGCGUUAAUCGGAAUUACUGGGCGUAAAGCGCACGCAGGCGGUCUGUUAAGUCAGAUGUGAAAUCCCCGGGCUUAACCUGGGAACUGCAUU